rnacentral:lncRNA from 1 species
ACCUAUGUAAAUUUUAUCCCAAGGCCUCCUUGUACAUUGAUCAACUUAACCAAGAUGAAAUGUGUAUGUAUGUGAAUAAUAUUUCAGUACAAGGAGCAUCUCACAGCAUAAAAAGUGUAUUAGUUUCAUAGUAUACAAAUCCAAAGAAUGGAUUUAGUUAAAUUGGAUAAUUGGGCUGUAUACUCCUAUCAAGGUCUACAGUUCAUCUUCUGUUCUAUUAUGUAUUUGAUACCAUUUUGAUACACAAAUGUAUUAUGCAUUUGAUACAUGAAGGAAUGACUCAUGUUUUUGAUUUUAUAUUACUUUUUAAUAGUUGGUUUAACAAUGUAAGGUAUAUAAAUAUGAGAUACUUUAAUUUACAUAUAUAUUGUUUGAUUUAAUAGUUUUACUAUUUUAAUUGAAAAAUCGUUCUCUUUGUAGUUUUGUCUGUGCUAUUAUAUACUGAAGACAUUACAUACUUGAUUCAGAACAUGGAGAAAUUAAUAUUGUACGACCUUGAAAUGUCAUCCUUAGUGGCUAGCUCUUAUAGUUCUGGAAUGAGACGUGCAGAAGAAUUGUCCAUCUGUGCUAUUGAAAUAUCAACCCUCAAAAUGAAAUGUAAUAACAAUUUCAUACUAGUGUAAGCAUAUAAUUUAUAUAUUUACAAAUAUAAAAUCAGCAACCUUAAUGAAAAACCCUAUUCAUUAUAAUCAAGUAUUUAUUGCAUUUUCUUAAAUUGUUCUCUAUAUUGGUAAUAGGUAAAUUGUAUUCAAGUUCUUUUAUUUGGUGUUUUAAAGACAAUAUCUUACUGUAGGGUAAAAGGGCCUUAAGUAUAAUAUAUCUCUCAAAUUAGCCUCAAAUAUUAAUUCUCCCUACAUCUUUCUAUUACAUGUUGAGACUACAGGUGCACAUCACUACACCUGGUUCAAUCUUCUAAACUGUUUGGGCUGCCAUUUUGGGAAGUAACAAAAGAAAUAUAGAAAUUUGUAGAAAACUCAUGAUUCUUAAAAAAAGUUCACUUAUGCCCAGUAGAUUUUUCUCCCAUCAUAGUUUUAAAUGGUAUUUGAUACUAAUUGGGACCUUAAAGGCUACUGUGAUCUGUGAUCUCUAGCUUCACAGUGUACUAAAAAAGAAAUAUUGAACUGAUUAUAUUUGGUUUUUAUCUCAGUCAGUUGUAAGUGUUCUAUCUUAAGUCAUAAACUAUUACAUAGUUUCACAGGUAUUAACUGGCACAUCAGCUGUGUUUAUCUGCACAAGGUCUUCAUAAGAUGAAGGAAACUUUAAAAUUCUAACAAAGAAUUGAAAGGGUUUCUGACACUGCACUCACAACUUAGGACUUAAAUGGCAGUUGAUGGCUGUUUAGAGGAGAGUCGUUUGUUUGUUUGUUUGUUUGUUUGUUUGUGGGAGCAUGGCUUGGCUGUUGGUGUCUUGUUCAGUUCCCCAUUGGCUCCUUAUACACACAGAAAAAAAAAGCAUUGUAUUUUACACCUAUGAGGAGUGUGAAAUAAACAGGAUAAAAAAGAAAAUGGUACCAUGAGCAGGCAGAAUGCUGCAAUAAUUGAUAUAGUUGUAAGCAAAGUUGAAUUAAACUAUGCCCACUGAAAACUGAUUUGCAAGAGAAAAUCAUCAUUAGCAAAUGUAAAAUUAAUUUCAUUGGGUCCAUUGAUGUCAUUGGGAAUAAUUGAAUAAUCUCAAUCUGUUGAGAAUGUUUGGACAAGAACAGAUGGAUGGUUUUGAUACAACCUUUUUUCCAGGAUAUAUUUCCAGGCAUGUGCUGACCUCAACUGCCUAUCAAAUAAAAGUAGAGGCCCAUGAAGAGAGCCCUACCCAGAAAAGUUGGCCAGUUGGUUGCAUUUUUCUUUUUUAAGUGUGAAGCUGAUUUUUAAAUUUAGCCAAAGUUUCCUUAGAUGUCUUCUCACUUGCAGUUAAUUAUGUAGGUAUAUCAAAUAUGCAUUUUCUUUAAAAGCAUAUUACUGUUUUGUUUUUAUCCACCAAUGAUUCUUGGUUAAAAGGUGGUAAUAAAAUGGUAAUAUAUAUUUAGUUAUAUGAGAGAAAGUAAUAGAGAAAUUUCUGAAGUGUAAAAUGAGAUGCAUAAUUGCUUCUUAAAACACAGGAAAAGAAAACACAGAAUGACAAGCCUAUACAAUCAAACCUUGAUCACCUGUGGCGAUCCUGCUGUUAUUCUGGCUGGAAGAAAAGAUUUUCUUUUUGCUUACAUUUUUCUUUCAUGGACCAGAAGUAUUUGUGGUAGGAAUUGAAGCAGAGCUUCACUAGCAUUGCACCUCUCAGCUGUGUCCUCAGGCCUCCUUCAGUGUUUCUCAGGUCUUUCAUGGGGUUGGAAGGUUGGGCGUGUCAUGAAGCACAUCUUCCUAGCAUGUUAACAGAGUGUGAAAUGAAGAGUCUGAGAACAAACAGAAAUCAGAGUCCAUCCUUGAUUCUCUUUAUUUUGAAGCUGCCUUCACCAAAGCCAAUUUUUAGGUGUCAGCAGUUGUGAUUUCAUUUAAUUUCAUAGAUCCUUUAACAAUGAAUGAAGUGUGCCCAAGGUUAGAGAGUACAGAGUGGAUCCCCCUCCCCCCCAAAAAAGAUAGUAAUGUUCUCUAUAGAUCAGGCACAGAGAUUGGAAGAAGGAUAUCUUCCUCCUCUUUCUGAGAAUGCCAUGCUUUGGGGAUUACCAUUUUAGGGGGACCACUAUGCUCUUAUAAAUAUUUCAGGAAGUCUCAUGUUAAAGACUUGGUUACCAGUAUGUGAUAUUACUGGAAUGCAGUAGAAGCUUUAAAAGGUGUGGUGCCAUAGGAAAUCUUGUUAAACCAAAGGUCCUGACUCUUUCUCUUAUGCAUUUGCUUUCCCUCCUUGAAGUAAAUGAUCUUCCUGGGACAUAUUCUUCCACCAUGAUGUACUUUGCCACCAAAGAUUCAAAGGAAUUAGGCCAGUCAUUAUAGAUCAAAAGAACUAAAACUAUAAAGCCUAACUAAACCCAUCCUCAUUUUCCUCUGAUGUACAACUGAAAUUUGCUUAAGGUGGAGCAAUGCAUUAGCCAUAAUAUACAUGGACAAAAGACAGCAGUUAACAGAUGAGAUUGAAGACUUGGGUCCUCCAAGCCCAAGACAUUUCACUUUUGGUUGAAUCAUUCACAUAUUUGAAAAUCAACAGUAAUGGCCCCAUCAAUAUGAUGGUCUCAAGACAUGGUAGAAACAUUUAAAAGUUAUUUGCUCAUCUGUUUCAUGUCAUGAGGUCAUGAUGAUCCUAGGUUUUUCAUUACCAAUAGGUAGGCAAAAGUCAAGCUUAUUUACUUUGACUGUACUCUGAGCAAUAGAGAUACAAAGGAUUUAGCUUUGUGAAGUAUCACAAGUGAUGGGUAUGUGUGUGAUAUCUGCCAAAGCUGUAGCACUACAAUAAAAGUAACACUUUCCCAAAUUUCAGUUGUUCAUAUGGUCAAGGAAUUUUCCAUAUUAUUCAUAUUGUCCAUCACUUGAGAAGGAAUAUUCAGGAAUAUUUUAUUGGUGAGAAAACUUAGUCUUGAAGUGACUAUGAUAUUGUGCAAGUUCAAGAUUGUAUUGUGAAUAGGGGAUACUCAGACCUUGGAGUGUAUAUCCAGGACAUAUCAUUGUUACCACAUGACUUACCACCUUUAAGCUCCCCACCCUAAGUGGAAAAUCUAUUAAAGGUAUCUUUGUGGAUACCUAGAAGGAGGUCUUGAGAGGAUCCAGUAUUAAUGGUGUCAUAGAGACCAGAGAGCCAGAACCAUCCGGUGACUUAUUGCAAUGAAAAUUUAAAAGUGAAGAUGUAUGGACAGAGGGGUGUAAUGUGCGACACACUGGGACACCACAGCUUCCAUGGCAAGAUGUUUUCUAUGCUGUGUGUGUGUGUGUGUGUGUGUGUGUGUGUGUGUGUGUGUGUUCUGUUUGGUCAGGGGAGGUUGCAAGGUCAGAUGUCAGAUAUGCAGGGAUAGGGAGAUGAGUGGUACUGGGGUAUAUGAUGUAAAACUCACAAGUGAUAAAAAAUUCAAAAAGGCAUCUUGUGAGAAAAGUUUCCUGCAGUAUAUGAUGUGCUUUAGAAAUGAUAAGCUAUUGUAUUAGAUCAGACUUGUUGGAACUUUCUUUUAAUGCAAACAUCACAACAUAAACAUUUUGUUAAUUCAUAUUAUCUUAUUAUUUUAUUAAUUAUUAGUCAUUUUACUAACUUACUUAAUUUAUUAUUAUUUAUCUAAUUUAUUAUUUUCAUUAUUGUAUUAUUAUUAAACAGCAAUUUAUUAAUUUAUAUAACACGGAUUUUAUUUGUGGGCAUUUCAUUCUUCUGCCUAGCAAUUUAAUUUUUGUUCUUUUAGUGGUCUAACCUGCAGAUUACAUAC